GAAACUUUGGUCGGAUAAUAAUAUCUUGUUCAGCGGUCGGUUGCACGGCAAGACACUCAAAGGAAUCGGCAGUUCAGUUUUUCCGACUUCCUUUUGAUGAGGCCAGGCUGAAGCAAUGGUUGGUGAACAUGAGGAGAGAGAGACCAGCAAAUGGAACCACGAAAAGUCACGUCUGCUGUUCACACUUUGAGGAAGAUCAGUUUUUUAGAGACAAGCAGGUAUCCACACUGAAAACUGAAUGAGCAGAGCCUCCAGAAGGAAGACGAGGUGUAUAGAGCCUCCAGAAGGAAGACCUGGUGUAUAGAGCCUCCAGAAGGAAGACCUGUUGUGUAGAGCGGCGUAUUUGGUGCCAUUUCAUCUGGAUGUGGAAACCAGAGCGUUGACCACAUCCAAAGUUCUCAAAUGUGUUCUGAUUGUAAAAAUGCCAGAAAAUCAUUUUUGGUUCAGCUUCUUCUGCUGGAAGGAUGGACAAUCUUUUGGCACUUGGUAGUUAGAGGUUCAAUUUCUUGUGGUUGACUUAGUUUCUGCUGUAGUUUGAGAGGUGAUAGUAGUAACAUUAAGUAGUUUUGUGGAUUAAAACUUUUAUAAAUAUUAAA